GAUGAAGAACGUAGCGAAAUGCGAUACGUAAUGUGAAUUGCAGAAUUCAGUGAAUCAUCGAAUCUUUGAACGCAUAUUGCGCUCUCUGGUAUUCCGGAGAGCAUGCUUGUUUGAGUAUCAGUAAACACCUCAACUCCCUUUUCUUUUUUGAAAUUGGAGCUGGACUUGAGUGAUCCCAACGCUUUCUUCCAAGAAAGUGGCGGGUUGCUUGAAAUGCAGGUGCAGCUGAACUUUUCUCUGAGCUAUAAGCAUAUCUAUUUAGUCUGCCUAAAAAACAGAUUAUUACCUUUGCUGCAGCUAACAUAAAGGAGACUAGUUCUUGUGCUGACUGAUGCAGGAUUCACAGAGACAGCUUCGGCUGACUUUGUAAACUCGAUCUCAAAUCAAGUAAGACUACCCGCUGAACUUAAGCAUAUCAAUAACGGAGGA
rnacentral:misc_RNA from 1 species